rnacentral:rRNA from 1 species
UUAAGUUAACAAGGGCGCAUGGUGAAUGCCUUGGCACUAGGAGCCGAUGAAGGACGGGACUAACACCGAUAUGCUUCGGGGAGCUGUACGUAAGCUAUGAUCCGGAGAUUUCCGAAUGGGGCAACCCAGCAGUUUUAAUCAACUGUUACCACUAGAUGAAUUCAUAGUCUAGUUGGAGGUAAACGCUGUGAACUGAAACAUCUCAUUAGCAGCAGGAAUAUAAAGAAAUUUCGAUUCCCUAAGUAGCGGCGAGCGAACGGGGAACAGCCCAAACCAAAGUGCUUGCACUUUGGGGUUGUAGGACUGAACAUUUGAGUUACCAAAGAACUUGAUAGUCGAAGGAUUUGGGAAAAUCCGCCAUAGAUGGUGAUAGCCCAGUAGAUUAAAUCAAAUUCUCUCAGUUCAGGAUCCUGAGUACGGCGGAACACGUGAAAUUCCGUCGGAAUCCGGGAGGACCAUCUCCCAAGGCUAAAUACUACCUAGUGACCGAUAGUGAACCAGUACCGUGAGGGAAAGGUGAAAAGCACCCCGGGAGGGGAGUGAAAUAGUUCCUGAAACCAUGUGCCUACAAUAAGUCAGAGCGCGUUAAUGCGUGAUGGCGUGCCUUUUGUAGAAUGAACCGGCGAGUUAUGAUCCCGUGCAAGGUUAAGACUAAAAAGUCGGAGCCGUAGCGAAAGCGAGUCUGAAAUGGGCGUUUUGAGUACGAGGUUAUAGACCCGAAACCAGGUGACCUAUCCAUGUCCAGGUUGAAGGUGCGGUAAAACGCACUGGAGGACCGAACCCGUGUAAGUUGAAAAUUGCUGGGAUGAGGUGUGGAUAGCGGUGAAAUUCCAAACGAACUUGGAGAUAGCUGGUUCUCUCCGAAAUAGCUUUAGGGCUAGCCUCGGAAUUAGGAUCAUGGAGGUAGAGCACUAUUUGGACUAGGGGCCCGUCUUGGGUUACUGAAUUCAGAUAAACUCCGAAUGCCAUUGAUUCAUAUCCGGGAGUCAGACGAUGAGUGAUAAGAUCCACCGUCGAAAGGGGAACAGCUCAGACCAUCAGUUAAGGUCCCUAAAUGUAUGCUAAGUGGAAAAGGAUGUGGAGUUGCAUAGACAACUAGGAUGUUGGCUCAGAAGCAGCCACCAUUUAAAGAGUGCGUAAUAGCUCACUAGUCGAGUGAUCCUGCGCCGAAAAUGUACCGGGGCUAAGCAUACUACCGAAACCAUGGAUGCGACCAUUAGGUCGCGUGAUAGGAGAGCGUUCUAAGGGCGGUGAAGCAAGAUCGUGAGGACUUGUGGAGCGCUUAGAAGUGAGAAUGCCGGUAUGAGUAGCGAAAGAUAGGUGAGAAUCCUAUCCACCGAAUGACUAAGGUUUCCUGGGGAAGGCUCGUCCUCCCAGGGUUAGUCGGGACCUAAGUCGAGGCCGAGAGGCGUAGACGAUGGAUAACAGGUUGAGAUUCCUGUACUAGUUAAGUGCGUUUGAGCAAUGGAGGGACGCAGGAGGCUAAGAUGUGUAUUCUGUUGGAUUAGAAUGUCCAAGCAGUAAGUCUUGUGAAGAGUCAAAUGCUUUUCACUUUAAGGACAAGCUGUGAUGGGGAGCGAAAUUUAGUAGCGAAGCGUCUGAUGUCACACUGCCGAGAAAAGCUUCUAGUGAGUACUUAACUACCCGUACCGCAAACCGACACAGGUAGUCGAGGAGAGAAUCCUAAGGUGAGCGAGUGAACUCUCGUUAAGGAACUCGGCAAAAUGACCCCGUAACUUCGGGAGAAGGGGUGCUGAUCGCAAGAUCAGCCGCAGUGAAUAGGCCCAGGCGACUGUUUAUCAAAAACACAGGUCUCUGCAAAAUCGUAAGAUGACGUAUAGGGGCUGACGCCUGCCCGGUGCUGGAAGGUUAAAAAGAUGGGUUAGCUUCGGCGAAGCUCAGAAUUGAAGCCCCAGUAAACGGCGGCCGUAACUAUAACGGUCCUAAGGUAGCGAAAUUCCUUGUCGGGUAAGUUCCGACCCGCACGAAAGGCGUAACGAUCUGGGCACUGUCUCAACGAGAGACUCGGUGAAAUUAUAUUGUCCGUGAAGAUGCGGACUACCCGCGACAGGACGGAAAGACCCCAUGGAGCUUUACUGUAGCUUGAUAUUGAGUGUUUGUACAGCUUGUACAGGAUAGGUAGGAGCCAUAGAAACCGGAACGCUAGUUUCGGUGGAGGCGUUGGUGGGAUACUACCCUCGCUGUAUGACCACUCUAACCCGCACCACUAAUCGUGGUGGGAGACAGUGUCAGGUGGGCAGUUUGACUGGGGCGGUCGCCUCCUAAAAAGUAACGGAGGCGCCCAAAGGUUCCCUCAGAAUGGUUGGAAAUCAUUCGCAGAGUGUAAAGGCACAAGGGAGCUUGACUGCGAGACAGACAGGUCGAGCAGGGACGAAAGUCGGGCUUAGUGAUCCGGUGGUACCGUAUGGAAGGGCCAUCGCUCAACGGAUAAAAGCUACCCUGGGGAUAACAGGCUUAUCUCCCCCAAGAGUCCACAUCGACGGGGAGGUUUGGCACCUCGAUGUCGGCUCAUCGCAUCCUGGGGCUGUAGUCGGUCCCAAGGGUUGGGCUGUUCGCCCAUUAAAGCGGUACGCGAGCUGGGUUCAGAACGUCGUGAGACAGUUCGGUCCCUAUCCGUCGCGGGCGUAGGAAAUUUGAGAGGACCUGUCCUUAGUACGAGAGGACCGGGAUGGACAUACCUCUGGUGUACCAGUUGUGCCGCCAGGCGCAUCGCUGGGUAGCUACGUAUGGAUGUGAUAAACGCUGAAAGCAUCUAAGUGUGAAACACACCUCGAGAUGAGAUUUCCCAUUCCUUUAUGGAAGUAAGACCCCUGAAAGAUGAUCAGGUAGAUAGGUUAGAAGUGGCAGUGCGGUGACGCAUGAAGCGGACUAAUACUAAUCGGUCGAGGACUUAACCAA